AUGCGUGCGCGGGGGCUGCUGGGAGCGCGCCGCGGCCAUCUUGAGAUCCCGGCUUGUGGGCGCGUCCCGCGUGGGCAGCGAGCGGGGAGCCCUGUGGAGGCCGACCCGUCAGCGUUUGGCCGCCCUGCCGGGAGCGCUCCUUCACGAAGAGAAACUCAGCAUCGGGAGCGGCUCUGUGCCGCUCGUGACUCCGGAAGCCCCUGGCUCAGCCGCCACCGUCCCCCGGGGUCUCCACCCGGAGCGCCGGGGCUGGGGGCGCGCGUGAUUUGUGGCCGGCGGGAUGGAGCCCGCGCUGCCGAGGGCCCCCAGCGCUCGUCUCUCCGCGUGGGGUCCAAGCCCUCCGCUCCACGGCGCGGUCACGUACGCUCACCUGGAUGGCGCAUCGGCUUGUUAGGCGGUAGAAGCGAUAGAACUGCGAAAUACUGAUCUUAGUAUUUUUGGAAAUGUCUCAACUUGCGCCAGUUUGGGGAAUACUGUCAGCUUUCUGUGUAGAAAGUUGAGCUGGCCAAAGGCAGAGCAUUCCAAGCUGGUUGGUUCCUGGGAUGUGCUUCGCAGGCGUCCUGUUACUGGAAGCUGCAACGCCAGAGCCGGGCGUCCUGCCUCGCUGCCAAACUGCUUUCCAGUAACCCAAGUGCCUUUUACUUUAUUUAUUCUUUUUUUUUUUUUUUUUUGUCUUUUUUUUGUCUUUUUGCUAUUUCUUUGGGCCGCUCCCGCGGCAUAUGGAGGUUCCCAGGCUAGGGGUUGAAUUGGAGCUGUAGCCACCGGCCUAUGCCAGAGCCACAGCAACGCAGGAUCCCAGCCGUGUCUGCAACCUACACCACAGCUCACGGCAACGCCGGAUCCUUAACCCGCUGAGCGAGGGCAGGGACCGAACUCGCAACCUCAUGGUUCCUAGUCGGAUUCGUUAACCACUGUGCCACGAGGGGAACUCCUAUUUAUUCUUUUUUUUUUUUUUUUCUCUCGCUUUUUUUAGGGCCGCAGCCGUGGCAUAUGGAGGUUCCCAGGCUGCGGGUCACAUCAGAGCUACAGCUGCUGGCCUACACCACAGCCACAGCAACACGGGAUCCAAGCCUAGUCUGCAACCUACACCACAGGUCAGGGCAACUCCGGAUCCCCCUGAGUGAGACCAGGGAUCGAACCCAAAACCUCAUGGUUCCUAGUCGGAUUUGUUUUCGCUGGGUCCCACACCGGGAACUCCCCCAAGUGCUUUUUAAAAAAAUACCAGGCUCUUACAUACAUCGUCUGUUGCUGUGUAAAAGCAGGCCAUGAAAUUUAGCCACUUGAAACGACCAAUUUUAUUAUUUUGCAUAGUGUCCAAGGAUCAGGGAGCCCCUCUGCAGGGUAGUUGUGGCUUUGGGUUUUGUAUGAGGCUGUGGUCAAGCUGGGAACCAGGGACUUGGUCUUUGGACAUCUGCAGGAAUUCAAGCUCAUGCCUGCGCUGUGGGCAGGAGGCUCGGGUCCUCCCUUUGGGGAGGAGGAUUCAGUUCCCUGCUUCCUUCGGCCUCCCUCCCGAGUGAGGCCUCAGAACAAGAGUAAGCUCAAGACACAGCCUUAGUGUCCCUCACAGCGUCGUGUCAGACGUGCCGCCACUGCUGCCUCUCCUGCUGGCGACACAGACCGUGUCUGGUACAAUGUGAUGGGCGCCCACAGGGGCACCAGAACAAGGGGGCAGCCCCCACGCGAGGUAGUAAGAAUGGGGUUAAGAAGCCCAGUGGACCUGCCACCCACUUCUGCAGGUACCAGCUUGUGGCCCGUCUUGUUUGAUCUGUGCCCUCCUUUCUCCACAUGCAGCAAGUGUGAAGCAAACCCAGAGGCUGUCAGCCCGAGGGCCUUCCACACCCUCUCUCGUGGCAUUUUGGCAGCGGCACUCCGCGAGCAAGUGCUCCAAGAGGCCUUCUGAGGCUCCUUGCUCCCAAGCCCAAGUUCAGCCAGGCCAGGUUCAAGGGCAGAGUUUGCCACAGAGCCCAAGCGUGAGAGCGGGUGAGAGUCUCAGGGGUGGAGACAGGUGAAGGUGUAGCCAACACACAAUUCCACAGCAGGGAAGGAGGUUACGAACCGCUCCACUCUGGCCACAGGUCUCCAGACAAGCGUGAGCAGGAAGCUGCCUUCUCUGUGACAGGGACUCACGCCGUCUGGAACAGCGGGAGCAGCUCCCAGCAGCGCAGUCAGGUCCCGUAGCAAAGGCUUUGAGGCGCUCGGCUCAGAGGUCUCUAAGGAGUCACAGUUACUCUCAGGGAGGGCGUCUACCAGUUGUUCCUUCUCUUCCAGUGGCACAUUGUCCAUCAAACUUCUCAUCUAGGAGCUCCCGUUGUGGCUCUGGGUUAAGAACCUGACACAGGCCUGGCCUGGCUCCAGGCUGUGGCCUAGGUCCCAGAUGGAGCUCUGAUACCCUGUGGCUGUGGUGUAAGCUGGCAGCUGCAGCUCCGAUUCGACCCCUAGCCUGGGAACCUCCAUAUGCUGCAGCUGCAGCCCUGGGGAAAAAAAAAAAAUCACACCAUAACAGAGACUCACCUCUUAAUCAGAAGGGAAGCCAAGGACUGUGGCCUCUCCUCUCCUUUUAAAACACACCCCCUGCCUCCUAGCAACCUCAAGGGCCUCUUCCUGUGCAGGGCCUGGGUGCGGGGAGGCUGAGGGUGUGGCUUCUCUUUGAAAAUUAGGCUAAGGACCCAGAAGACCUGCUCCUGAGCACCAGGCAGACGCCUCACGCUCUGAUGUUGGGAACGUGGGACCAUAAGGCGAGUUUGUUUCACGUCAAGUUUUGGAGUCAUUUACAGACCCGACCAAGGAAAUUAACAAGUUCAGGAGCCAUUAACAAAUGGCUCAGUGGGUUGGGGAUCCAGCAUUCUCACUGCUGUGGUGAGGGUUCAAGCCUUGGCCUAGGCGCUUCCAUGCAGUGGGUGUGGCCAAAAAAAGAAAAUGAGUUUUUAAACAUCAUUCAAGAUCUGACCAAUAUUUUCCUUGACUGUUCUGAGCUGAGUUUCACACCUGGCGUUAGUUGCAGCAGCAUCUCCGUCGACAGGAUCGGUCUCCCUGCUCUGCACAGCGUCCUGUGGAAGGACCAGGUCACUGGUCCUGAAGAGUCUCCGGGACCAGCUGGCAACACCACACCAGUGCUGACACCUGCCCUUGAUCUUUUCUGCAGGUGCGGGAGGGGCCCGCAGGAGCCGGACUCCAGGAUUGUGACGUGUUUCUGCACCAUCGCAAGGGAGGGUUGAUUCUAUUUUGAAACUUUUAUCAAAUUAGCAAAGAACCCGAGAAAUAUGAUGCGGCAUGGCCACACCCCAGCGCCUGUGACUAACAAAUACUACUACGUGUUAAUUAUUUUUUGUCUUUUUAGGGCCACAUCCGUGGCAUAUGGAAGUUCCCAGGCAAGGGGUUGAACAAGAGCUACAGCUACCAGCCUACACCACAGCCACAGCCACACUGGAUCCUUAACCCCCUGAGCAAGGCCAGGGAUCGAACCUGUGUCCUCAUGGAUACUAGUUGGGUUCACUACCAAUGACCCCCAGUGGGAACUCCAAUGCAUAUUAAUAUAAAAAGGCUCUGAUGGGAAGUUCCUGUUGUGGCUCCCGUGAGCUGUGGUGUAGGUCACAGACACAGCUGCUGCUCUGUGGCUGUGGCUGUGGUGUAGGCUGGCAACUGCAGCUCCAAUUCAACCCCUAGCCUGGGAACAUCCAUAUGUUUGCUGUGAGUGCAGCCCUAACCACCCCCCAAAGUAAAAAAACCCUGUGAUGAAUGAAAACUUUUCACAUUAUUCAAGUAAAAGUAUUUAAUGACACAGAAAGGCAACCGGUUCUCUUACAGCGUCACUAAGGGAUCCUUUACACAAUCCACCCACUGAAAGUGUACAAUUCAACGAUUUCCUCGCCAAUCUGUGGACGUGCCUAAUGAUCACUCCAAUAACGUCCCCUUGAGAUGCCUGUGGUCGGUGCCCACUCCAGCCUCCCCGCCGUACCCCAGACCCUGGCAACCCCGUCCCGCUUUCCGCAUCUGUACAUCCUCCUUCCUGGACGUUCGUUUUGCGUCCGUGGACUCACACCACCUAGAGGAUCUUGCAUCUGCGAGCUCACCUGACGGUCUGGGUUCCAUCUAGAGCGUCCUGGUUUUUGUGUAAGUACAAUGGCCCAUUUUGCUGUAUUCACUUGCUGGUUGAUGGACUUUGGGUUCCUUUUUGCUGUCAGAACAUCUGCACUUUGCUGGCCUGAAGGCAUGUUCCUUUGUCCUGGGUUCACUCCCGAGAGGAGUGGAAUUCCCCACUUUGCAGGCGGAUGGACCAUCUUGCAAUCCAGAGAAGGUUCUAACUGGGCACACCCUUGCCAACACUUGGCAUUGUCUUUUUGACCGAAGCUGUCCGAGUGGGUGUGACAUGCUGCCUCAAUGCUGAUUUCAUUUCCCUGAUGAAGAGUCUCUUAUGGUAGAACAUCUAUUCAAGUUUUUUGUCCAUUUUUGUUAUUAUUGUUUGGCUUUUUAGGGCCGCACCCACAGCACAUGAAGGUUCCCAGGCUAGGGGUCAAACAGGAACUACAGCUGCCAGGUUAUGCCACAGCAACGCCUGAUCCGAGCCGCAGCUGUGACCUACACCACAGCUCAUGGCAACGCCGGAUCCUCAACCCACUGAGCCAGGACAGGGAUUGAACCUGCAUCCUCAGGGAUGCUAGUUGGGUUUGCUAAACCGCUGAGCUGCUGAGCUCACAGCUUUUUAAAUGUAUACAGCUAGCUCAUUACAGAAGUGAACACAGGUUUAUGUGCAUGACUUAGUAUAUGUACUUUCCAGCUCUGUCUGGGAAGGGCCCCGAAGCAGUAACAGCCCUGGAGCAAUGAGCACACCCACGGGCGAGAUCUUGGUGGCUACAUACCAGUCUCCGUGAAAGGAGCCUGGAGCCUCUGGCGGUGCCAGAGUCCCGAAAUGCUUAAAAAAGGACACAGCAGGUCAAAAGGGGACAGACAGGAGGAACCUUAACAGUCUGAGCAACAGAGUAACAGUUACCUGGUUAUGACUCAUAGAAUCAAACACCCACAAAUCCACACUGAUAUAAAUAACUGAAUAAAUGGUGGACAAAGAACUGCUCUUUUUUACAAAAGAACUCCAGUUAAUGAAAUGAAAAGACAAUCUACGGAAUAGGAGAAAAUAGUUUCAAAUGAUGCAACCGAGAAGGGCUUGAUCUCCAGAAUAUACAAAUAACUCAUACAACUUGACACCAAAAGAUAAAUGAAUAAAUAACCCAAAUGAAAAAUGGGCAGAAGACCUAAAAAGACAUUUCUCCAAGGAAGACAUAUUAGCUGGCCAACAGGCCCAAGAAAAAAUGCUCAACAUCACUAAUUAUUACAGAAACACAAAUCAAAACUACAAUGAGGUAACACUUUACACUGGUCAGAAUGGCCGUCAUUAGUAAGUCUAUAAAUACCAAAUGCUGGAGGCGGGGUGGAGAAAGGGUGUCCUCCUAUGGUCCAACCACUAUGAAACAGCAUGGAGAUUCCGCAGAAAACUACACAACUACCAUACGAUCCAGCAAUCCCACUCCUGGGCACAUAUGCAGAAGAACCUUUCAUUCAACAGAAAAGAUACACGUACCCCUGUGCUCACUGCAGCCAAACAUGGAAACAAGCUGAACAUCUACCCAGACCAGUGGGUUAAGAUGUGGUCCAUACACACAAUGGACUGCGACUCAGCCGUUGAAAGGAAAGAAAGAACGGCAUUUGCAGCAACACGGAUGGACCUAGAAAUUAUUGUGCUAAGCGAGGUCAGUCACCAACAUCGAAUGCUUUCACUUCCAUGUGGGAUCUAAAACAGGACACACUGAACUUCUUUGCACAACAGACACUGAUGCAGACUCUGAAAGACUGAUGCUUUCCAAAGGAGACAGGUUGGGGGUGGGGGGCACACUGGGGGUCUGGGAUGGAAAUGCUAUAAAAUUAGGUUGUGAUGAUUGUUGUACAACUAUAAAUGUAAUAAAAUUCACUGAGAAAUGAAAACAAGAUACAUGCAAAAAAAAAAAAAAAAGACACAUGCACAUGCAUGUUCACUGCAGCACCAUUCACAAGAGCCAAGACGUGGAAACAACCUCAUCGUCCACUGACAGAUGAAUGGAUUAAGAUGUGGUGUGUAGGAGUUCCCGUCGUGGCGCAGUGGUUAACGAAUCCGACUAGGAACCAUGAGGUUGCGGGUUCGAUCCCUGCCCUUGCUCAGUGGGUUAAGGAUCUGGGGUUGCCGUGAGCUGUGGUAUAGGUUGCAGACGUGGCUCGGAUCCCGCGUUGCUGUGGCUCUGGCGUAGGCCGGUGGCUACAGCUCCGAUUCAACCCCUAGCCUGGGAACCUCCAUAUGCCGCGGGAGCAGCCCAAGAAAUAGCAACAAUAACAACAACAACAAAAAAGACAAAAAAAAAAAAAAAAAAAAAAAAGAUGUGGUGUGUAUACACAAUGGAAUACGACUCAGCCAUAAAAAAGAACAAAAUAAUGCCAUUUGCAUUAACAUGGAUGGAACUAGAGAGUCUCAUACUUAAGAUUCAUUUAGAUUCUCAUACUUAGUAAGAAAGACAGAUACCCUAUGAUAUCAGGUCCUUGUGGAAUCUAAAACAUGGCAGAAAUGAACCUACUUAGAGAACAGCAACACUCGCAUAUACAGAGAACAGACUUGGGUUGCCAAAGGGGAGGAGGAGGGAGUGGGAGUUCAGGGCUGACAAGUGCAAACUUUUACAUCAGGAAUGGACACACAGGGGGCCUGCUGCAGAGCACAGGGGACUAUGUGCAAUCGCCCGUGAUGGAUCACGCACAAAGGGGGGAUGAGAGAGUGGGUACAGAUGUAUGACUGGGUCACUCGGCUGUACAGCAGAAAGGGGCAGACCACUGUAAAUCGACCAUAUUAAACAACUUUAAAAAAAAGAACUCCAAUUAACAUGGAGAGAAUGAGCAAAAUUUAAGAACUCACCAUUAAACGUCACAGUAACAAUUACUGCACCGUGGGUGCUGAGAUGAGAGAGCGAAGUGGGGCGAAACAAGGAUUCACCUGGUGCCAAGUUUCUCCACCCGCGGAUUUAGGAAUUACACAGUGGGGGGGGGGGGGGACCCAACUCUCCGAUCCAGAAGCCGGCGGCUCCCGCUGAUCCACACAAUCAAGGCCACCGCCUCGGCCACGAGCCAGACUCUGUGCUGUACCCACAGCACCCCCCGUCUGUGGCAUUCCUACCACUGCAGGUGACUCUGGAGAGUUCUUGUGCCGUGCUGUGGGUUAAGGAUCCCAUGUUACGACGGCGGCAGCUGGGGUCGCUGCGGUGGUGUGGGUUCGAUCCCUGGCCUGAGAACUGCUGUGUGCCGCGGGUGAGGCCCAGAAAAAAAAGAAAGAGAGACCCCGCCGCCGCUGUACCAGAGAUAAACCUCAAAGCCACUGUGCUGAGUGAGAAGCCAGAUCCCUUUGCACGAAAGGCCUGAUCCAUAAAGCGGACGCAUGGAGGCUGGGAAGGGAGCAGAAAGGUGAAGGCUCGUGUGUUCUUCGCGGGGACAAAGGAGUGUGUGCUGGGAUUUGAAUGUGGCGGUGGAUUUGACUGAGUAAAUGGGGGAACAUCACAAUAUGUCAAUUAUGUCAAUAAAGCUCUUAUCUAAAAAACCUGCAGCAACAAGCCUUUCUCGGGACAGUGUAGGAAAGUGACUGUUCAUGCUGUUACCUUUUCGUACUGAUGACACAGCUUAUCCUACACGCAUUGAAACAAAACCACAAAAGGCCACUCUGCCGUCUCUCCUUUUCUUUCCGUCACUGUCUACGGAUGUCACCCACACCCGUCCCCAAAGGCUGGGCCCUGGGAGCCCUCCCCCAGGCCAAAAGCCAGCAGUCAGGCCCCAGGACCUCCGCCCUCCGGCAGGCACACUGAAGGUCUGGCUCAUCCCAGGUUCUCACCCCAGGUCCUUUGCACCUACUUUCCUCUCUGCCAGCAAGGCUCCCUCCCCACAUAUCCACAUGCACACAAGUCCCCCUCGUCACAAGGCCCCCACCCUCUGCUUUCUUCCAGAGCCUUGUCACCACCUGGCAGCCUGCUUCCCCAUCUUUCCCGACUGGAAUGUACGUUCCUGGAGAACGCAAACGCGCAAGUCUCUAUUCCUGCCUCUCUCGCUUCCAGUGCAGCCGUUAGCCUGUGUCACCGCAUCUGCUCUGUUUCCUACACCAGAGCCGCAGCCCCUGCAGGCCAGAACUAAGCCCUUGUUUGGAGGACAACCUGCAGCUGAGCAGACACACCAACCUUCUGGGGUUCCAAACCCCGUCUGGGGAGUGUGACCCCCACUCCGCGACCUCGCCUGAGCCUCCUGCUGGGUUUCACACCUGCAAGGGGACAGAGCUCUUCCUUCUCAUUCCGGUUGCUUGGUAACCUGUGUACCUUGGCUCAAGCACGCACGUGCCAAGAAAGUGCCCAGGAGUCGACACCUCUUCCCGGGAGCCCCCCAGCAGCAGCUCCUCAGGCCAGGCAGGCCCGGGGCUCCAACCCCUGUGCGCGUGCCCGCCCUCCCCCAACGCCAGCUUCCCCCUCAACCCCUUCAAAACCCGGAGGGAUGACGGCUGAGCGGCCGAGGGAGGCCCGCACACUCCUGCACCUCACCGACCUUCCGCCAGAUCGCAGGGCAGGAGGCUGGCUGGGGCGCAUCCCAGUGGGGGCCUGACCCUGCGAGCGGGGCAGCCGCAGCCAGCUGGUGCGCGAGGCGCCGGUCGGGCAAACACGCAAACACGCGAAGGAGAAAAUGAGCACGAGCGCCAAGACCUCUCCCCCCUCCCUUCCCUCCACCACUAUUUCGGGGAUGAAGCGCUGGCCGGCGCCCCGGGCACCACCCUCAGGUGACCGGACGCCUGAUGGGCCCGGAGCAGGGGGCUGUCCCUGCACGUAGCACCACCCUUCCUCCCAAGAGCCUCUCACACGGGCAGGGCCGCGCGUGGUCCUCCAGCCUUCGAAGGAAGCCGAGGCUGCCUGCUUCAUGAACGGGGAGGCUGAGGUUUGGUGGCCCAGCCUGGUGUCACCCUCCCCCGCCUGUCACCGCUGUGCUGGCGCCCACAGCCUCCAGGCCAGAGAUGUCACAUGGCCUCAAAGCAGCAACGGUCUGGGGCCAUGUGCGCCCACCUGGACCCGACCCUGAGCUCAGCCCCUCGGCCGGCUUUCUCCCUGCGCCGUCCUCCCCACUACCGCCGUCCUCAGCCCCUUCCACGCAGAGCCUGACCUGGCUCAGGCAGCUCAAGUGGCAGCUGCUGGCUCUGCGGUGACAGCCUGGUAACUGGCCGUGGCAGGGCCACUGCCAGGCACACCUCCCUGGUGACUCGCUCCGGCCCUGUCCCCAGUGUGGAAGCCUGGAAGCCCCCUGAGCGGCAGGGCAGGCCUCCCCUCGGCCUCCUCUGCGCCCUAGCAGCCCAGCAUCGGGUGGGAGGGGGCGGCCGGGGGCCAGCCCCCCACCCAGCUUGGGCUAAGGCAGAGCGGAGUAGCUCGCAGGAGGGGGCACCCAAAGACGGCUGUGCCCUGAACCCUGCACAGGGCACCCUGACGUCACUGUCCUCUGCUCCUCUGCCCCAGAGACGGUCCAGGCGGCACCUGUGUCUGCCAGCCCCUCCAGCUCCCUGUAGCUCACGUCAGAUGCGGCCCCAGCUCCCACUAGCUACGUCACCAAGGCUGUAACGAGGACACCCUCACGGGACUUCUGCUGCGACGACGAAGAGAAUCGCACUGCAAAGCCGUCAGGUCACCACGGUUAAAUCCCAGUGUCUGGAACCACAGCAUCAGAGACAGGAGAGAGAGGCUGAAAGCCAGGGUGCCCACCCCACCCGGCCCCUCACCUCGACGUGCAGGCAGCGAGCCGCAGCUGCGGGCGGAAGACCCUGCUCCACGGCCUCCCACCUGCCGGGCGGGAAAGAGACGAGCUCAGACCUGUGGAACAGACAGGAGAGACGCGGCCACCACCUCCAACCCGCAGGCCCGUGCCCCUCCGGCCACCGGACCCCGGGGGCGCCCAGGCGAGGACCCCAGCACGGGAGGAAUCAGGCAGGGCCACUUCUACACACGUUUCUAGUUUAUUAUGGCAAAGGUGGAAACGCCACCUUCUCCACAACUGCAACCAGUAAAAUUUAUCCCAAAAAUAACUCGGUACAAAACAGGUCUGCUUCAGGAUUUAAAAAAAAA